AUUAUAGAGUAGUAGACUUAUCUUCUUCCCUUCAUAUUCUCUGUCUUCUUUGUUGGCCCCCGAAGUUCCUCGGGAUGCAAUCGGCCAUGGGAAUCGGGAACGUCUGGGAGAAAGACAUUCAUAUUCACACAGCCUCGGGAGGCGGAGGAGCUCUCUUAAACCAACAAUCACUGCCAUGCUAUACCAGAAGACGGUUAUAGCUUCGUCGGAAGGCACGGGUUGGACGGCGUCUCAAUUGGCAACCGAGUGCUUCUGUCGCGUGUCGACCUGAGGAAAAUUUGCCUCGGCUGAUACGUGGGCCGGCCCGUUACAAACUUAAAAAAAUUAUAUUGGUGAAUAUGAAAUGGGACUCGCUCACUCAUCUCUGUGUGAGAGAGAAACCGUCACCUCCGCCAGGGUUUUAGGUUUUUCUUUCCUAUUCAAAACUGUGGAGGCUGUCCAAACCUUCCAGAAUGGAAAGCUACCGGAGAGUCAAGAAGCCGAAGCCGAAGCCGGAGCUCCCCCUCAGCGAGAACGAGGUCCGAAUCACCACCCAGGGCUCCAUCAGAAAGUACCUCAACUAUGUCACCACUCAGCUCCAGGAUAAACAAGUCAGUGAAAUUGUCUUGAAAGCAAUGGGACAGGCAAUCAUCAAGACGGUGGCCAUUGCUGAAAUCAUAAAGGUCUUUAUCAUAAACCAUCUCCUCUGCCCAGUUUCAUACUUCCCAGUUCACAACUAA